rnacentral:lncRNA from 1 species
GAGGAUUAGCGCUACUUUCCCAAGACAGGUUUAUAUGUGUAUAAUCUUCAGGCUUUGCCUAUCCAGGUGGGCUUACUUUCCAAAUGUACAAAGUAUGAUUGAGUUAUUAAGCUCUAAAUGUUUCAAUGAAAUGCAAAUUGUUUAUUUAAUGUAAUGAAAACUGUUUAUCCAAUAAAAUAUUUUGUGCACUCUGCUCUGUUUAAGGCUCGCAUAAGUUAAUCGAUCGAGGUUCUCUUAUGACCUAACACGUUGUUUGAGAAUUGUGUACACCUAUUAGCUGACUCGGUGGGUUGAUCUCCAUUCGGGCACUAAUCAUGUAUGAGGCGUUAUAAGGGUGCUCGACGGGAUGUGUUCCGGAGCAUUGGGUCCCAAAUGGGAACUUGACUGGGUUACGCCCUCAGUUCAAGUAAAGCGGGAGAUAUGGAUCCGUCGGUGGCUAAAAGGUCCGGGAUCACAGCGAGUAACGGAAAGGGAGUGUGACAUGUGCGCACAAAUGAAAGAAAAUGUUUUAACAUGCUUAGAAGUACUUCUUUCAUUUUAAAACCUUCUAAGUCAUGUCAAGUAUAAUUGGAUAAACUGCUCUUACGAAAAUAUGAAAUGUUUAUGAAAAUGCAUGCCCACUAAGUACAUUAGUACUUAGCCCAAAAAUACUUUCAAAUGUUUUCAGGUUGGCUGGCUGGUGCUGACGGGACGGAGCUGAGGCUAGAGUUAAAAUUCAUAUGUUAGACUUCCGCUGUAGCAAUUACUCAUUUCAGUCUUUUGUUUUCCCAACUUAAGAUCUUCAUGUUAAAUUUCAAAUGAUAUAUUUGACCGAGCUUAGACUCUUCACUACUAAAUUUAUGUCAAUGAAUGUCGGUUGUCAGAAGCAUGAAACAAAACUUAUGAUCCAAAGGGGCAUAGCCCGAGUUUCUAUCCUAUUUCGGGUUUUAACAAGGUAUUUCCCUUGUUUAUUUCUAUGAAUUAUUCACACC